GAUAAACGCUGGCGGCGUGCCUAAUACAUGCAAGUCGAGCGAACGGACGAGAAGCUUGCUUCUCUGAUGUUAGCGGCGGACGGGUGAGUAACACGUGGAUAACCUACCUAUAAGACUGGGAUAACUUCGGGAAACCGGAACUAAUACCGGAUAAUAUUUUGAACCGCAUGGUUCAAAAGUGAAAGACGGUCUUGCUGUCACUUAUAGAUGGAUCCGCGCUGCAUUAGCUAGUUGGUAAGGUAACGGCUUACCAAGGCAACGAUGCAUAGCCGACCUGAGAGGGUGAUCGGCCACACUGGAACUGAGACACGGUCCAGACUCCUACGGGAGGCAGCAGUAGGGAAUCUUCCGCAAUGGGCGAAAGCCUGACGGAGCAACGCCGCGUGAGUGAUGAAGGUCUUCGGAUCGUAAAACUCUGUUAUUAGGGAAGAACAUAUGUGUAAGUAACUGUGCACAUCUUGACGGUACCUAAUCAGAAAGCCACGGCUAACUACGUGCCAGCAGCCGCGGUAAUACGUAGGUGGCAAGCGUUAUCCGGAAUUAUUGGGCGUAAAGCGCGCGUAGGCGGUUUUUUAAGUCUGAUGUGAAAGCCCACGGCUCAACCGUGGAGGGUCAUUGGAAACUGGAAAACUUGAGUGCAGAAGAGGAAAGUGGAAUUCCAUGUGUAGCGGUGAAAUGCGCAGAGAUAUGGAGGAACACCAGUGGCGAAGGCGACUUUCUGGUCUGUAACUGACGCUGAUGUGCGAAAGCGUGGGGAUCAAACAGGAUUAGAUACCCUGGUAGUCCACGCCGUAAACGAUGAGUGCUAAGUGUUAGGGGGUUUCCGCCCCUUAGUGCUGCAGCUAACGCAUUAAGCACUCCGCCUGGGGAGUACGACCGCAAGGUUGAAACUCAAAGGAAUUGACGGGGACCCGCACAAGCGGUGGAGCAUGUGGUUUAAUUCGAAGCAACGCGAAGAACCUUACCAAAUCUUGACAUCCUUUGACAACUCUAGAGAUAGAGCCUUCCCCUUCGGGGGACAAAGUGACAGGUGGUGCAUGGUUGUCGUCAGCUCGUGUCGUGAGAUGUUGGGUUAAGUCCCGCAACGAGCGCAACCCUUAAGCUUAGUUGCCAUCAUUAAGUUGGGCACUCUAAGUUGACUGCCGGUGACAAACCGGAGGAAGGUGGGGAUGACGUCAAAUCAUCAUGCCCCUUAUGAUUUGGGCUACACACGUGCUACAAUGGACAAUACAAAGGGCAGCGAAACCGCGAGGUCAAGCAAAUCCCAUAAAGUUGUUCUCAGUUCGGAUUGUAGUCUGCAACUCGACUACAUGAAGCUGGAAUCGCUAGUAAUCGUAGAUCAGCAUGCUACGGUGAAUACGUUCCCGGGUCU
rnacentral:rRNA from 1 species